rnacentral:lncRNA from 1 species
ACAGGGCCGCCGUCAACCAUCAUCACCCCGAUCCAUCCGGUCCCAAGACACGGGGCCGCCAUGAAGCUCUUCAUGUGCUUCGGCGGCGCGGCGCCUGUGGCCGACGACGAAGCGGCUGCGGAGCAGGCGGCGGCGGCUGCUCGCCGCCGGCGGCCGGAGGAGGCUGCCGUCGUUCCGGUGGAGGUGCUUGUUUCCCGGGAAGCUGCAGGCAGGCAAGAAGACGAAGAGGCCGUCAUCGUCGCCGCCGCCGGCGGCCGAGGCCAAGACGAAGCGGGAGACGAUGGCCAUGGACGACGACUCGGGCGGCGGCCGCGUGUGUUCGGCGCGUUCACGGCGUCGUCGUCGUCCUCCUCCUCAUCAUCCUCGUCGCGGCUGAGCUCCGCGUCGUCGUCCUUGUACUCGUACUACUAUUCCUCCCCCUGCCCCUCCGCCACGCCCGCUCGCUCCUCCGCCGCCUCGUCGUGCUCGCUGUCGCCGCCGACGGCCUCGGGGGCACUAUCAUCUCCGGCGGCGCUGCUGCCUGCGAGGCGGCACGCCAAGGGGACGUCGUCGCCGGCGGCCGGUGCGGCGGCCGUGGUGCUGUGCCUUUUCCUGGUGGUGUUCUGCGGCCCGGUCGGGGCCACGCUGCUCACGCCCGCCGCGCUCUACCUCUUCCCGCGGCGGUGGCCGGCGAAAGCUCAUAGGGACGAAGAAGCCCUGGACUCGCUCCAGUGCGAGACGGAGGAGGAGACGUCCGUCCCAGAGCCAGAGGAAAGGUGGUCGUGGGGUACGGUAGUUCUCGCUGAGGAAGUGAGGAGAAACCACAAGUCUGACAACUGAUCGCCUUCGUUUUUUCUUCCCAUCUUUUUUUUUUCGUUCCGAGGAUGAAGAGGGGAAGAAGCUUAUUGCACUUUUGACUUUUUUUUUUGGGGGGGGUCCAAGAGUUAUGUAAUUACAUGCCGCGGACGUACGUAGUGUAAUUAAUUAAAAUUAGAAACGAGAUGAUAAGAUAUAGAUAGUUUUGUAGCAUGCUAGCUAUUUUGUUUAUUUAAACAGAUCGUGGUGUUAAGUGUAAUCAAAUUUACGUUCGCAAAAAAAAAGUAAUCAAAUUUAAGCAAGGAUGUCAGUACUAGUUUGUGUGUGAUUUCUUUUGUAAGGUAAACGUCAAAGACUAAAUUCAUGGGUGUUGCAUAUAUACUUGUAACUUUAUUUAUUUCCACCCAAUUACUGCAAUGGAAAGUGUUUGAGGAAAGAACGGUGGCACUUGCACACCGAUGGCCCUCUGUGGGCCCUAACAAAUUCUAAAAUGUUUACGUGUUCCAUCCACGGGAAUAGGGAGAGGAAAUGAAAAGGUGGCGGACCUUUGCAAAUAUGAAAGUAUAUCUGCAAAUAUGAAAAGGUGGUAUUAAGAAUGUAAGUGGAAUUUAAUUCUAUAAAACUAUUUGUAAGCAUAGAAUGGAUGGGAGUGGUAAGCACGUGGUGUCUAGCCAUUAUUGAUUGUUAGGGAUUUAAUCUUUGAUGUCACAGUCCCUAAAAAUCAUAUCCUAGUCGACGUUGAAUGCGAUCAAUUCUUUUUGCUCUUAGGAUGGCUUCAGCACAAGGUCAUGAAGGAUGGAACCUUCAGAGGAUGGAUACGAAGAUGACACUAGAUAAUUACGAAGAUGAUGAGAAUAACAAUGAUUCGGGAGACAAACUAGAGCACAACGCCAAGAUGGAUGAUCACCUUCAUCCAACAGCAAAGCACGAACAAAGCUUACGAAGAUUCAAGUUGUGAAGGCUCCACUGGCAAAGAUUCUCCCUCGAACGAAGCUCGUCAUUGCCAUGGUUGCUUGCCCGGGACCGAGGGAGGGAGGUGGGGGGUUAUGCUUUUAUAUAGAAAUGACUGAAGUGCCCUUAUCAGGCCUGAAGAGUGAUUACUUAUAAAGAAGAGAAUACCGUAGAAGUGUCAAACAUCCUGUCCCUAAUAGUUCCAGUGAUGUACAAGGACGUACAUAUAAAAGCAGUGCUCGUUAACUUAAUCUCAGCUUUUUGAUUAAUGGGGGCGUCCACUGUCCUAAUGUAAUGUAAACAGCCUCAUGGACACGAUUUGGCUUAGCUUCGUCCAGCCUUCAGGUGGUGGUUUCGGCACACGACCAUUUCACUCAGAUGCAUAUAUAUGCAUUGAUCCUAUCUGCAUGCAACACGUCUCUGCAGAAGAGGCUCUUGACACAACCUGUCCAAAGGUCGAAGCUAGCCGCCGCCUAGCCCAAAGAAAAGUGUACAAGCCUACAGGGGACAUCGUUCCUACUGGCAGCCUGGCAACUGGAAAAGAAAAAGACGCUUUAAUUUAGAUGAAGCUUGGGUAAUGAUGCCAAGAGGCAAGAGGCCUAUACGCAGCUUCUAACCAUGCAUAGCUUCGGUACUAAGAAAUGGAGCUGGGGCCAAUCUUGGCACACCAUAACAAAAAGCAUUAUUUAUUAAAAAACGUAAAAGCCCUAGACAUUAUCUCCUCUAGGGAGUACUAAGCUAUAUUGAAAAAGACGCCUGACAUUUUCUAGCUUUUCAAGCCCGUCUCACUGUCCACAAUAUAUGAUUGGUUAUAUAUAUAAUUUAUACUACAUAGCGAAUUAUUCAAAAAAAAUAUACAUAUAUAGCACCGUGCAUGAACUUAUUACUUACAGUUAAUAUCUUUCUAACACAACUGUUUCUCAGCACACUUUUCAUCGAGAAGAAAAACACAAAAUUUGAGAAAUACUAUACAGCACUCGUGUUGGAAUACGUGAUUUUUUUUUUGUCUUCUCAUUCUCUACCUCUCUUAUUCUCCAACUCUGGUGGACUUAGAAGAAGCUGGAGAACUUUCACGACUAGGGCCAAUACUAUGAACCACCAACAUCGGAUCACAUGCUAAUGGAUAGAAGUAAUGCUAAUAUAUAGAUUUAACUGAAAAAAAACAAAGAAAAUACUCUAGUAUUUUUCCCACACCUAGGGCCACGGCCAUAUUGGCCCUAGCCUUAUAUCCGCCACUAGGCCGGUCCUAAAAGUCUAUUAAAAUAAAAGAAGUAGGGUGUUGUUAUUAUGUGGCUAGCUCGUGGGUGCAUCACGCAUGACGCGCUAAACGUGGCUUAGAAAUAGGAAAACACACGGACGCGACGACUUCAAUUCACGAGCGUCCAUGCUACUCAUCAGGGUGAUCCUUGUAUCGUUUUUCCUAGCUGACCUAACCUGCAUGCAGGUAGAGUAAAGCAGCUGCAUGCAUAAUGCACGUCCGUGACUACUAGCUAAUCACAAUAAUUUUGGGCGCCUUAAGUCCAUGACCAUGAGGUCUCGGAGCCGCCUUUCUACAUGCAAUGCAAAGCGAGUGUAAUUACCUAGAGGUUUCAAAAGCGUCGGAAUCUUAGACGAAACAUAAAAGCCAUGGACGACGGGAAUUGAACUUGGAACACACACGUACUGACUCAGAUCUCUCUGUAUUAUGUUCGUAGUAUAGUGGAGUCGCCGUAACCGUCAAACACGAAACUGCUAUACACAGGACCGUUCCGGAUCCCCUCCAUACGUACCAAUGCAAAUAUAUCUUGAGGUACAAUUUGACCGAAUAAUCUCUUCACUUCAACGUUUUCUAAAAGAGAGAAGAUGCAUUUAUACAUUGUCAUUAUCGCGGUGCGUGCCGAAUACGUUGCGCGGCAGCUGCUGCUUUAGGCCUUGUUUAGUUCACAAAUAAUUUUAAAAUUCCCCGUCAUAUCGAAUUUUGUGGCACAUGCAUUACACAGUUUGCCUGUAAUCGCGAGAUGAAUCUUUUGAUCCUAAUUAGUCUAUGAUUAGAUAAUAUUUGCCACAAACAAACGAAAAUGCUACAGUAUUCAAAAUCUAAAAUUUUUGCCAACUAAACGAGGCCAAUUAGAAUUGAGAACAAGUAAACGAAAGUCUGAAAAGCUUGGACGACAGAUGCUUUAUGCUGCUAGCUUUUUUGAAUUAUUAUGAGUGAGUUGAGAGUGAGCCUGUCACUGUCCCCAGGCCCAAUGGAUUCGACCACGUGAUAUUGGUGAUACUGACAAGACCUAGUUAAUUGUCGCGAGCUAACCGAGUAACGAAGCGGAAGCGAUCAUUGGAGAGUGAGACUGCCAUACCAGGGUGUGGCUGUGUGGGGCGUGCAGUUUGCCCGGCCGGGUUAAUUUUAUUGCUUUCUGUCGUAUAAUUCUCGUUCAAGGAGUCAAACGACUAUAAUUUUAAUCAAAUCUAUAUAAACAUUGAUAAAACACCAGUAUUUGUAGUAUCAAAUAAGUAUAUAUAAGAUUAAUUGUGAAAUAUAUUUUUAUAGUAAUUUUACCUAGAGAUAUAAAAAAUAAUAAAUAAGUUUAAUAAUAUUAGUUUUUUUUGGACAGUAGGGUAGCUCUAGGCCUUGUUUACUUCCAAAAAAUUUUGCAAAAUAGGAAUAGUAGCACUUUCGUUUGUAUUUGACAAAUAUUGUCCAAUUAUAGACUAACUAGGCUCAAAAGAUUCGUCUCGUCAAUUUCGACCAAACUGUGCAAUUAGUUUUUAUUUUCAUCUAUAUUUAAUACUCCAUGCAUACGUCUAAAGAUUCGAUGUGACGGGGAAUCUGAAAAAAUUGCAAAAUUUUUGGGGAACUAAACAAGGCCUAGACUUUGAUUACCUCUGUUGUUGUUCUGCAAACUGUUGUAGGCUCUCACUCGACAUAUUCGGUUGGUACAGCUUUGGUGGCUUUCUUCUACUCAUUUCUUUGUGCAUUGUAGCCAUAAUCACCCCUGUUCACUUGAAUUUAUCAGUCAUAUUAUUUUUCGAAAUACUAGUAUUUUUUCUUUUAAAACAAAUCAGCAUCGACUGUUUUCUUAGGCCCUGUUUAGUUCCCUACCCAAAAUUUUUUCAUCUAUCUCAUCGAAUCUUUGGACACAUGCAUGAAACAUUAAAUGUAGAUAAAAAAUAAACUAAUUAUACAGUUUGGUUGAAAAUCGCGAGACGAAUCUUUUAAGUCUAGUUAGUCUAUGAUUAGCCUUAAGUGCUACAGUAACCCACAUGUGCUAAUGACAAAUUAAUUAUGCUUAAUAGAUUUAUCUUGUAGUUUCCAGACGAGGUAUGAAAUUUGUUUUUUUAUUAGUUUUUAAAAACCCCCUACCGACAUUCUUUCGACACAUCCGAUGUGACACCCAAAAAAUUUUCAUCUCCAAGCCAAACAAGGGAUGUAGGAAAGAGAUGUUUAUCUUUUUCCCCUUAAAGAAUGAACUAUGAGCUGAUAACACCUGUUCUUCUUUCGUGCACUGUAGGCCUGUAGCAAAGAGCCGGAUAAAGCCAUACGAGACUUUUAUUACUUCCAAUGCAAAAGAAAAGUUUUUCAGAUGGUUAUCAAUUGGCAGUGCAUCAUUAGUGCAGCUGGCAAAUACUCUCGUCCCAAAUAACUGUACAUCUCGUUUUCUUCCGAUGAAUUCAACAUUUUGAAAUUAGUCAAAUACAUAUAAAAAUAUUUUUACUUAUCAUGCAUGCGGAUUAAGUAUAUAUUUAUAAUAAAUAUUAGAAAAUACAAAUGUUGAUACUAUUUGGAUUGUCUUAUUCGUGAGUAAUAGGCUUGAAACACAAGACAGGAGAGAUUUUGUUUCUUAUAAUACAUAUUAGAUCCUUCCCUGUCCAGCGCUAUUGCGUGUCUGUAAGACCUUUUUCCUAUUUUUAAUACAAAGAUACACAAUCUUUUUGUGUAUUUGAGAAAAAAAAAUGUUGAUAUUAUUUUUAUAAAUCUAUUCAAAUUUGACGAAAUGAACUCCUCGGAAAAUUGAUAUCUCGGAAAAUCGAUAUCACCAGCUAUUUUGUGAUUGUGUCCAAGACAUGAGUCAAAGUCAGUCAGUACCGUGUGGCCCCCCCUCGGCUUCCAUUCCUAUUCCCGCAUCAAACACAAACAGAGAGUGUCCAGUGUCCACACGCACUAAAACGCACGCUGACGGACGCGCGCCUAUAUAUCCAGCGGCGCGCCGCUUCCGAUCUGAAGCAGACACGGCCUGGCGGACGCUCGAGUCUCGACACGCCGCGACCGCGCGCGAUCGGCGAUCCUGCUAUAUAUCCGUCGAUCCAUAUUUUCCAGACAUCCACCCACAGCACACGAGCAGAACACCCCCACUGCCGUGAGUUACAGUUACUACGCCGACCGAUCGAGACCUUCCGAUCGAUCCAUCGAUUCGUCUCCUCUCCCGUGAGCGCGCCAUCAUGAAGCUCUUCAUGUGCUUCGGCGGCGCGGCGGCGGCCGUGAUCGACGACGAAGCGGCCGAGGUGGCGGCCAGACACAUGCAGGAGGGGCAGCGUCGUCGUGGCCGCCGUAGCCUGUCGUUCCGGGGAAAGUUCUUGCCCGGUAAUAACAACAAGCAGGGAGGCAACGAGAAGAAACCGUCGGCGGCGUCCUCAAAGAAGCGGGGGAUGGACGCAGCAGACGACGUCGUCUACGGCGUGUCCAGGGCGUCGUCGGUGGCGUCCUCGGCGCUGCUGAGCUCCGCGUCGUCGCUGGACUCGAACACAUCAUCGGCGUCGUCGGCGUCGUCUUGCUCCUCCACGGCCUCGUCCUCGCCGUCGGUCUCGGGGGUGCUUUACCCGCCGGCGGUCAAGCGGCAGGCGAGUAAUAAUAAGAGGCCCGCGUCGUCGUCCCCGGUGGCGGGCGCGGCUGCCGUGGUGCUGUGCCUCCUCAUGGUGGUGUUCUGCGGCCGCGUCGGGGCCACGCUGCUCACGUCCACGGCGCUCUACCUCUUCCCGCGGCGGUGGCGGCCCGCGACGACGACGCGUAAGGAG